GGCGUUUUUCGCCGCGGCGGAGAUCGACCGCCGACUUCGUUGAUCGUCGAGUACAUCGACGAUCACAGGGACAGGUUCGGGGUCGAUCCGAUCUGCCGGGUACUCACCGAGUACGGAAUGCAGAUUGCCCCA
rfam:Gordonia bronchialis DSM 43247, complete genome.